CCAAUAGCGUAUAUUAAAGUUGUUGCAGUUAAAAAGCUCGUAGUUGAAUUUCGGGAUUCGUCCAUUGGUCAGGCUUAACUGUCUGUACUGGUGUGUCGGAUUUCUACCUUCUGAAGAACCUUCAUGCCAUUAAUUUGGUGUGUUGGGGAAUCAGGACUGUUACUUUGAAAAAAUUAGAGUGUUUAAAGCAGGCUAACGUCUGAAUACAUUAGCAUGGAAUAAUGAAAUAGGACGGUACGGUUCUAUUUUGUUGGUUUCUAGGAUCGCCGUAAUGAUUAAUAGGGAUAGUUGGGGGCAUUAGUAUUCAAUUGUCAGAGGUGAAAUUCUUGGAUUUAUUGAAGACUAACUACUGCGAAAGCAUUUGCCAAGGAUGUUUUCAUUAAUCAAGAACGAAAGUUAGGGGAUCGAAGACGAUCAGAUACCGUCGUAGUCUUAACCAUAAACUAUGCCGACUAGGGAUUGGACGAUGUUAAUUUUUUAAUGACUCGUUCAGCACCUUACG
rnacentral:rRNA from 1 species